rnacentral:rRNA from 1 species
ACUCAAAUGAAUUGACGGGGGCCCGCACAAGCGGUGGAGCAUGUGGUUUAAUUCGACGCAACGCGAAGAACCUUACCAGGGCUUGACAUCUACAGAAUCCCUAGGAAACUAGGGAGUGCCUUUCGGGGAGCUGUAAGACAGGUGGUGCAUGGUUGUCGUCAGCUCGUGUCGUGAGAUGUUGGGUUAAGUCCCGCAACGAGCGCAACCCCUGUGUUUAGUUGCUAACGAGUAAGGUCGAGCACUCUAGACAGACUGCCGGUGAUAAACCGGAGGAAGGUGGGGAUGACGUCAAAUCAUCAUGCCCCUUAUGUUCUGGGCUACACACGUGCUACAAUGGCCAGUACAGACGGAAGCGAAGCCGCGAGGUGGAGCAAAUCCGAGAAAGCUGGUCUCAGUUCGGAUUGCAGGCUGCAACUCGCCUGCAUGAAGUCGGAAUCGCUAGUAAUCGCAGGUCAGCAUACUGCGGUGAAUACGUUCCCGGGCCUUGUACACACCGCCCGU